UGGAGUUCCUGCAGUGUAGGACAUGUUGAAAGCUAUUCAUAACCACACAAUUCAGGAUAGUUCCAGGGCUAUAGAUUUUAUACUGUAUCUAACUUGCUAUCAUUAAAUUACAGAGAACCAGCAAGAAGGGGGAAAUUCUGGACCAAGAGUCCAGCAACAGUCGGAUAUCACUGUUCCAGCUAGAGGUGAUCCAGAUGAGCCAAGACGUAAUGAUAUGUAUGUAACAGCUAAUGUGUCUCUCUAAAUUCUGAUUUUUUCCAAGCUUUUGGGUUAUGUUUGAUUACCAUGUGAAUUUCAGUCAUAAAAUCUAUUUGCAUUUCUUGAAUAGAACUUCUUUUUUUAAAACCCAACAAAACCGAACACAAGGUUUUCUUCUAUUGUUCAUCAACUCAGGAUCUAAUAUAUUUUACAGUAUGGCUUGAUGUAUGUCGAAAUGCUUGUAAUACCUGAAGGACACACCCAAAAUAUCUGAAAACCUGCUUCUUAUCAUGACAGAUUUGAUAAGGAAAGAGUUCGUGGAAUGAACGGCUUCCAAAGGACAGCUAGAUGCUUUUGUCACAAACCCCUUAUUUCUGACCUGUUGAAGAUUAAUGCUGUCAUACCUGUGCUGCGCUGUGCUACAGACUGCUGUUACUUGUAACAGUAGAGCAGGGGGACUGACUACAUCAUCCCCCGUAAUGAGAAGCAAGACCCUGUUUCCUUUAGGGAAGGGUCAUCCUAACUGCUUAUUACAUGCAACAAAUGAAGAGAGUGAAAGGUACACAGGGACCUUCAGAUGAAAUGCAUCAUGGCCAAUCUGUGCAGUUGGGGGAUGAUAUGACAUUAUAGGAACCAGUUACCCUCAAUGCACAGUGACAUUAAUGGAUGUGUGUUCUUUCUGCUUUUGUUCUCUUUACCACAAGGCCACCUGGUACCAUUAGAUGUCUGAUCUACAUGGAUUUCUACUUGGCGAUUGUGCAAAAUGGAUGACAUCUUGUGGCAACCAUAUGCGGCCACGUCUUCUGCAACCAGUGUCUUUAUUAUUCCCUUAUGAAUGCCAACACUUGCCCAACCUGCAAGACAGAGCUUGGUGAUGGAGACUAUCAUCACCUAUAUAUAUGAGUUUAUAUAUGUUUUAUUGUUCCAAAUAAAAAUAGUUGUGUUUUUGCAAA